UACGGAGGGUGAAGCGUUGUUCGGAAUUAUUGGGCGUAAAGAGCGUGUAGGCGGUUUGGUAAGUCCGGUGUGAAAGCCCUUGGCUCAACCAAGGAAGUGCAUCGGAUACUGCCAAUCUUGAGUACGGGAGAGGAGAGCGGAAUUCCCAGUGUAGAGGUGAAAUUCGUAGAUAUUGGGAGGAACACCGGUGGCGAAGGCGGCUCUCUGGAACGAUACUGACGCUGAGACGCGAAAGCGUGGGGAGCAAACAGGAUUAGAUACCCGUGUA
rnacentral:rRNA from 1 species